rnacentral:rRNA from 1 species
GACAGAGGAGCCAAGCGUUGUCCGGACUGACUGGGCGUAAAGCGCCCGCAGGCGGCCGUGCACGUGGGGUGUGAAAGCGCUCGGCUUAACUGAGCGAGGCCAUCCCAUACGGCGCGGCUCGAGCCGUCCAGAGGCCGGUGGAAUUGCCGGUGUAGUGGUGAAAUGCGUAGAGAUCGGCAGGAACACCCAGGGGGGAAACCAGCCGGGCUGGGGGACCGGU